GUUUUUUAAACUUUCAAAAAUUAUUCAAGAUUUAAACGUGCAUUUUUGUAUCUUCCAUAGAAUUUAUGAAUUUAAAAUUACAUAUAAAUUCAAUGAAAAUAAAUAUUACUUCACUUCUCAGAGCUUCUCUCCUCAUUUCUAGAAUGAGGUUGAUAAGUGAUUUUGAAGGUUCCUUCUGCCUCAGACGUUGAAUAUUUCUGGCCCUAAAAGAAAAAUGGUAACACUAGAUUAGGACUGGCAGCAUUUGAUUGUAAAUCCUAGCCGAAGAGACCAAGUUUUGUUGAGAGUAGUGAGCAUUUCUAGCACCUGUUUCCACACUUCUAGUCAUUCUUCCGCUUUUCUCAUCCUCAGCCCUCUGAAACUGUGAGAUCACCAACACUUGGGGUCAAAGUCUAUUAACAUUUUUCAGUUCUCAUCCUGUUAUACUAGUCUGUAGUAUUUUACACUGUUGACCCCUCUCCUCUUUUUACAACCCCCUUGCCUAGGCUUCCACAUUCUUUUUGUUUUUCUUUCAUCUCUACAGCUACUCAUUGGUAUCUUUAUGGGCCCAGCAUGCUUCUGCUGCACCACUCUGCUGCCUAGCUACUGAUAGAUAUCUUUAGAACCAUUCUUAGGCCUUAUUACAUCUAGAGGGCAGUUUAGUAGGUCUAAGGUUGCUUCCACCUAGGGAAAGUGCAAAGCAUGUUAAGUGUUUUAUUCAUAUGACUUAAAUUGCUGUUACACAGUCCAAGUAAACCACAUCGAAAGGAGACUGAAACUACUUGGAUGAAUACAAUGGAAUCCUGUGGAAUGGCACCCCAAACCAAGAUGGUGGCAGAGAGCUGACAAUUGGAUUAUUUGCAUAUCCUUUGUGUGGUCAUCCUAGCAUCUCAGGAUCAGGAAAGAUGAAGAGGAGGGAGGGGAAAGGAAAAAUUUCCACUUAAAGUAGAGCUUGCCUAGGAGACAUCAACUGACUCUUGUAUUUUAACAGCACAGGCUGAAGCUGAUAAGGGUCUUUAAGCCUCAGUAACCUUAGACAGGCACCUUCCUCACUGGACCUAACUGAAGAGACUUUCCUGACUAGUGAACAAUGGGAUAUUUAUUUUAUUUAACCAAUGGUGUAGAGACCUAUAUAUUCAUUCUGCCCCAUAUCCAGAGUGCCAGUUUCCAAUGCUUAAUUAGCAUAAGCCCCAUAAGCUCCCCACUUCUAACAUUUAAAAACCCCUGACUUUCCCUCCUCAGUGAAAUUCUUCAUGGAGUAAGUUCUCUUGCUUGGCAAGUUAAUAGACUCAGCUUUGUAAUUUUUUUUUUCUAGCUCUAACGGUAUUUGUUUUACUCAUGGACAGGUGAGAAGGACAAGGGUAGAGGAGUCUUCAAACACCCCACAGCCAGCCAUCUUGGGUGAAUUACUGCAGUUUUCGAAAGUUCUGGAGGCUAGAAGUUGAAGACUAAGGUGUUGGCAGGAUUGGUUUCAUCUCGAG
rnacentral:lncRNA from 1 species